AGACACUGUGAGAAUGAAUUAUGAAAAAGUUUCCAAGUAAACACGAUCGAAAUCAUGUACACACUAUGAUUAUCAUUACCGAUCGUAAAAUGUUAAAGAAUAGAUUGCAAAGUAUGCCAUUUGCUUCAUCCAACUUGAUUUCAUGAAGUAUAAACAUAUAUGCAUCUAUAUAUAUUCGAGGUGAUUACAAAACCAUGAAGUGAUUUGUGUGAGACAAUCAAGAAAUUUUUUCGAAGAUUAAUUAUUUAAAAGUGAAAUUUUCACUGAAUAACUUAUUUUAGAUCAGUGUUUUCCAAUCUUCUUAAUUUACGAAUUCUUUUUUUAGAAUAUCCAAAUAUUUUAUAAUUUUCUUAUAUUUUUAAUUGGAUAAAUUACAGGAUAGAGAUGUGAGAUUCGUAAAAAAAUGUAAAAGAAAAGUAACCAUAGAGAUUCUGAUUCGAAGUCUCAAGGAUACUUGAAGACGAAAAUGGCAAAGAAAUCGCAAACGGCAAUCACGGACUAAGUACUAACCUAAUCAACCAAUCUUCGUUCUGUUCUUCUGUUUCACUACUCCUCGAUUCUUUUACUCAAAGAAGGGAAAUGAUUCGCUACCCUCGAAUUAUUCUUUCUGUUACAAUUCUUCUUAUCAAAUGAAGUUUAAUAGUAAUUUCAACUAUAGAUCGGGAAGACCGGAAUCCUGUUUGGGGCUAUCGUUAAACAUCCGAUCGUGGUUCAUCCUAUUUGCUUCUCAUGCAAUCAUCCAUCUUUCAAAUCUCCUUUUGCAAUCUUCUCUUUUCGCCAGUUUUCUUCUCUUCUUUACGUGGGCCUUCAUACAUUGGCCCGCAGACGUCUCUUUCUCUCUUUUCCUCUAUUCCUUUCUCCUCCAUUGGCCCCUUUCUCGUAGUCACGAAUAUCGUUCCUUCAUAGUUCAUAUAUCAAACGCUUAGGAAAGGCGGCGACACAUAAAUACCCCGUACACGGGUAUAUAAAAGCCACCACCUCGAGAGGAUAUAUCCCACCAGAUCGGUCCACUCUUUCCCGAUUGGAAUGACUUAUGGGCAUGCGGCGUGCUUUUGGUCUCCGCAAGUCUAUCGCGGGAUUAUAGUGAGCCACGCAACUAUAAUAAUCAUUCUCGUGGCGAUUUUAUUUCUCUUCGAUAAUAUUGGAAUUUUGAUUAUGGAGUAUAUAAGUAAUCCAAGUUGCCUGGAGAGAAUUAAUGAUUAUAAGUAUAUUAGAUAUUGGAUUAAUCAUUAUUAUUAUAUCAAUUUUUUAAUUUAUUUUGGAAAUUAAUCUUUAAAAAUAGAUUCUCCAAAAAUUUCUUAUGAAUAUAUUAACAUCCUAUAUAUACGUAUCUGGUGCACAAGAGGUUUGGUAUAUCGUAUCCGAAAAAAAGCAUUCGUGAAGCGGUGGCCCGACAAUGGCGGCCAGUAAUAAAUUAUAAAUCGAAAAAAGGAGGAACAACAGCAACAAGAAGCGGCAACCGCGGCGAGUUACGGUUUCACGUUAAAUAUGAAAUAUUGCUAUCCAUGUCUCGAAAGUGCGCAUGUAUACAAGGUAGAAUGUGUAUAUGUAUACAUAUAAAAGUACGGUAUUAAGUAGCUGUUUAACAUAUUUUAAUUGCCA